CACCCAACACUGGAGCACCCAGAUAUAGAAAGCAAAUAUUAUCAGAGCUGUUAAAGAGAGAGAUAGCCUUCAAUACAAUAAUAGCUGGAAACUUCAACACCCCUCUUUCAGCCUUAGACAGAUCUUCCAGACCGGAAAGAAAAAAAAAAAAAAAGAACAAGGAAGCAUUAGACUUAAUCUGUACUCUAGAACAAAUGAACCUAAUAGUUAUUUACAGAACAUUUCACCCAAAGGCUACAGAAUACACAUUAUUUUCCUCAGUACACAGAUCAUUAUUAAGGAUAGACUGUAUGUUAGGUCACAAAACAAAUCUUAUGAAAUAAUAUCAAUUGUCUUCUCUCACCAUAAUGGAAUACAACUAAAAAUUAAUAAGAAGAGGCAUUUUGGAAACUAAACAAAUGUGUAGAACUUAAACAAUAUGCUCCUUGAAUGACCAGUGUGUCAAUAAAGAAAUUAAGAAAACUGAAAAAUUUUUUGAACAAAUGAUAAUGGAAACAUAUCACAUGAAAACCUAUGGAACAUAGUGAAAGCAGUAUUAACAGGAAAAUUUAUAGAUGUAAGUGCUUAUAUAAAAAUUCACAUAAGUAACCUAAUGAUGUAUCUGAAACUACUAGAAAAGCAAAAGCAAACCCAACCCAAAAUUAUGAUAAGAAAAGAAAUAAUACAGAUUAGAGCAGAAAUAAAUGAAAUUAAAAAGAAGAAAACAAUAAAAACAAUUAAUAUAACAAAAAAGUUGUUUUUUUUUUUGAAAAGAAAAACAAAAGUGAUAAACCUUUUGCCAGACUAAGAAAAAAAGGGACCCAAAUAAAUAAAAUCAGAAAUGAAAAAGCAGACGUUUCAACUGGUAGGGUGAAAAUUCAAAGGAUAUAUGACUACUAUGAAAAAGUAUAAACCAAUAAAUUAGAAAAUCUAUGAUAAAUUUUUAGACACAUAAAACCGACCAAGAUUGAACCAGGAAAACUGAAAACCUAAACAGACCAAUAACAACUAACAAGAUCAAGGCCAUAAUAAAAACUCUCCCAGUAAAGGAAAUUCCACAAUCAGAUGGCUUCACUGCUGAAUUCUACCAAAUAUUUAAGAACUAAUAUCAAUCAUACUAAAGAUGUACCAAAAAAAAAAAUAGAGGAAGAGGGAAUACUUCCAACUCAUUUAACUUGGCCAAUAGUACCCUGAUAUAAAAAAAAGGACAAAGACACAUCAAAAAAAAAAAAAAAAAAAGGCCAAUGUCACUAAUAAAUACUAGUGCAGAAAUCCUCAAUGAAAUACUAACAAACCUUAUUCAAGAAUACCUUAAAAAAAUUCAUCAUGAUCAAGUGGGACUUGUCCCAGUGAUGCAAGGAUGGUUCAAUAUAUGCAAAUCAAUGACAUAUUACUGGAAGUUCUAGCUAGAGUAAUCAGACUAAAUAAAUAAACAAAAGGACAUCCAAAUUGGAAAGAAGAAGUCAAAUUACCCUUGUUUACAGAUGAUAUGAUUGUAUAUUUGCAAAAACCUAAAGUUCUCCCCAAAAGCUGUUAAAACUGAUAAAGAAAUUCAGUAAAUUUGUGGGAUACAAAAUAAACAUGCAAAAAUCAGUAGCAUUUGUAUAUAAUGACAGUGAACCAUCUGAAAAAAAAAACAAAAAAAAUCUCAUUUAAAAUAGCCACAAAUAAAAUUAAAUACCUAGGAAAUAACCAAAAAAGUGAAAGAUUCCUACAAUGAAAUCUGUAAAAUGCUGAUGAAAAAAAUUGAAGGACACACAAAAAAUGAAAAGAUAUUCCACGUUCAUGGUUUGGAACAAUCAAUAUUAUUAAAACAUUCAUAGUAUCCAAAGCAAUCUACAGAUUUAAUGCAAUCCCUAUCAAAAUACCAGUGAUAGUCUUAACAGAAAUAGAAAAAAAAUUCUAAAAUUUAUGUGAAAUUACAACCACC
rnacentral:lncRNA from 1 species